UAAUGAUAUACUUUACGUCGGAUAAUACGAACAACUGUUUAAAAUCCAAAUAAUUUGGCGGUGUCUUACACUAUCAGGGGAACCUGUCCAUUAAUUCGAUAAUCCACGAAUAAUCAACUAUACUUAGAAUCUCAGCUUGUGUACUGCUGUCGCCAGUAAACCUCUAAAAGAAAGUUUACAAAAAUAAUAAACAUUAUUUACGUCAAGUCAAAGUGCAGCCUAUAGUAUAGAUUAAGAUGGGUUACAAUCUAAAUAAAGAUACAAAUAAAUAUAUGAAAAAUAUUUUGAAGGUGGACUUGACCAGUAAUUUUUAUAACAUUAUGAAUACUAAUCUAAGACAUGCACUACAUCGCCCGUCACUCUCGUCUCAAGAUG
rnacentral:rRNA from 1 species